rnacentral:rRNA from 1 species
AUUGUAGGCUGAAACUCGCCUACAUGAAGCUGGAGUUACUAGUAAUCGCAGAUCAGAAUGCUGCGGUGAAUGCGUUCCCGGGUCUUGUACACACCGCCCGUCACACCACGGAAGUUGGGGGCGCCCGAAGCCACUUAGCUAACCCUUUUGGGAAGCGAGUGUCGAAGGUGAAAUCAAUAACUGGGGUGAAGUCGUAACAAGGUACC